UAUAGAAAUCGCUAUUUGAAUGUAAUGUGUUUUUCUUGUUUCAUUUAUAUAGAAAUCGCUAUUUGCAUGUAAUGUGUUUUUCUUGUUUCACUUAGAUACAGCUGAACCAUGGCGCAGCCUGCAAAACCAACAGAGAGGGAGGCACUCGAAAGCUACAUCAAGGACACCGGAGGAAGGACCAGAAGACCUGAGACCAAGACGACCCAGACGACCCAAGCCCAACCCGUAGUAUGCUUCACUGACCCAGACGACCCAAGCCCAACCCGUAGUAUGCUUCACUGACCCAGACGACCCAAGCCCAACCCGUAGUAUGCUUCACUGACCCAGACGACCCAAGCCCAACCCGUAGUAUGCUUCACUGACAAAUUUUGAUGUUGAUGCUUCAUCAUCACAUAGACCAAAGGUUUCAGAGAAGGCUGGUAGAGCUCUCUAUUAGUGUGAGCUGUGGGAGAUAACCAAGAACUGACAACCACCUAAAGAAGAGGUGGCGAUAAAGGCUCUCCAAGAGGAGGUUGUGAGUCUGAAGGCUUUUAUUCAACAAGGAGGCACUUACAGGGAAUUCCUGGACCCUGAGAGGACUAAGACGAUAAUUGAGGCCACCCUGAAGCAGUUCCCAGGCCAGACACUCACUCCAGAUUGCUGGGCCAGGCAAUAAAUGCCAAAGUGACAGAACUGAGGUUCCAUAACAAAAACAAAGAUUUUCAA